rnacentral:lncRNA from 1 species
GAUCAGUGAAUCAAAGAUACGUCUUCAAGAAGCUGAGAGAAGAAGUAACAUUCACUCCGCUGAAGCUCUUAAAUUGAAAGUAAGAGAUGCGAACGGUCAAUUUGAGGAUCCAGAACUGAGAGCCGUGACGUCCAAUAACUGUGAACUGGAAGAAAGUAAAAAGGCCCUGGAGGAUAAGUGUAAUGCAUUGAGGUCUGCGAAAGCAGCCAAGGAAGCCAAAGUCAGACAGUUGAAGGAGAAAGCAGGCAUCCUUGAAGAAUUCUAUGAAGAAAGAAAAGUGGCUAUAGAAAAGUAAGAUGUUCAUGUGAUAAGAGGCCCAAGUACUGUUGUAUGAAGGCAUGUGGUGGCCAGUAUAGGUAAAUGUGUUUCUUUUAGAAUUGGAUCCAGAGUCUUUUUGCCAAAUGCAUUCAGUACAAUUGUGCCUGCCCUUCCUACCUUGCUUUCUGUAACCUGCAUUUUCCUUUCUGUCCUUAGUGCUUG